rnacentral:rRNA from 1 species
UACGUAGGAUGCAAGCGUUGUCCGGAGUUACUGGGCGUAAAGCGCGCGCAGGCGGCUUGGCAAGCAUGGCGUGAAAGCCCCCGGCUUAACCGGGGAGAGUCGUCGUGGACUGCCAGGCUUGAGGGCGGUAGGGGUUGGUGGAAUUCCCGGUGUAGUGGUGAAAUGCGCAGAUAUCGGGAAGAACACCCGUGGCGAAGGCGGCUCUCUGGGACGGUACUGACGCUGAGACGCGAAAGCGUGGGGAGCGAACAGG